UAUACAUAUAUAUGUAUAUAUAUAUAUAUAUAUAUAUAUAUAUAUACCACUUAGCCAUACGGUCUUUCAAAAAGGGAAUAGAACAUCUAUAAGAAAUAGUUUCUAUUCUGUUUGGCUGAAAACACAUCCAAAAGACAACAACUACACCAACAAGUACCAGAAAGUCAAGCCCUCAAAAAAAAUAAUAUUCUAAGUGUAUAAUAACUUUUAAUAACAUAUCCUCAUGCAGGGGUCAAGCUUUGCCCAGGUUUGUUGAAAUUUUUCCUUUUUUUUUUUCCUAUUUCUUUUGGGGUUGUGUAAUCUUGGCUUCAUAUUAAAAUACCAAAAAAACAAAAAAAAACAAGUAUAAAUAUAUAUAUGCUAAGUUCUUUUUUUUAAAAAUAAGAAAUUUGACAAUCAAACAAUGGAAGAUUUUUGUUGGAACUCUUGUAAGAAAAUUGACAUAAAAGAGUAUUCAAAAAAAAGAAUUUAUUAUUUUCCGUUCCUCUUCUAUUCAUUAACAAUAUUCUAAAUGCAAGUAUGGACUUUCCAAAACUACUACAGGAUCAACCAGUUCCAUGCGGAAGCGGUUUUGCACUCUUUCUUUAAAUCGUCAAAAAUACAAAGAAUCUAUUUUAUAUUUUAGUGUUACUACAUAUAUUUCUAUGGCUUCUGGUCUUUUUUGUCUUUUUCUUUCUUUCCUUUCUUUGGUUUUUUUUUUUUAAAAAAAACAUAAUUUUUCACUUUGCUUGUCUUUUCUGGUACUGAUUUGUUCUGGUUUUGUUGGUGUCUGUAUACAAAGUCUUAAAUUGUUGCUUGGCUCAGGACAUGCAUAUACAUAUAUACAUACAUUCAUACAUACACACACAUACAUAGAUACAUAUAUACAUGCAUAUAUACACAUAUAUGUAUGUAUGUAUUUAUAUAUGUAUAUAUAAUUUUCAGUCAUUAGCCAAAGAAAAUGACAAAGCUUUUAAAAAAAAUAUUAAAAA